rnacentral:rRNA from 1 species
GGUGAACGCUGGCGGUAGGCCUAACACAUGCAAGUCGAACGGCAGCACAGUAAGAGCGUGCUCUUACGGGUGGCGAGUGGCGGACGGGUGAGGAAUGCAGCGGAAUCUACUUUGUCAAGGGGGACUACGACGGGAAACUUAGAGUAAUACCGGAUACAACCUACGGGAGGAAGCAGGGGAGCUUCGGAACUUACGCGGUUGGACAAGACGAUGCCGGAUUGGCUAGUUGGCGGGGUAACGGCUCACCAAGGCGACACUCCGUAGCUGAUCUGAGAGGAGGGUCAGCCCCACUCGAACUGAGACACGGUCCACACUCCUACGGGAGGCCGCCGUGGGGAAUAUUGGACGAUGGGCGCAAGCCUUAUCCAGCCAUACCGCGUGGGUGAAGAAGGCCUUCGGGUUUGAAAGCCCUUUUGUUGGGAAAGAAAAGCAGCAGGUUAAUACCCCGCUGUUCUGACGGUACCUAAAGAAUAAGCACCGGCUAACUUCGUG